rnacentral:rRNA from 1 species
CCUACGGGUGGCAGCAGUGAGGAAUAUUGGUCAAUGGGCGGAAGCCUGAACCAGCCAAGUAGCGUGCAGGAUGACGGCCCUACGGGUUGUAAACUGCUUUUAUCCGGGAAUAACGCGCCUUACGUGUAGGGCUUUGCAUGUACCGUAUGAAUAAGGACCGGCUAAUUCCGUGCCAGCAGCCGAGGUAAUACGGAAGUGCCGGGCGUUAUCCGGAUUGAUUGGGUUUAAAGGGGGCGUAGGGCGCAUGUCAAGCGUGCUGUGAAAUGUCCGGGCUCAACCCGGGCCUUGCAGCGCGAACUGGCGUGCUUGAGUCCGCGGAAAGCAGGCGGAAUUCGUGGUGUAGCGGUGAAAUGCUUAGAUAUGACGAAGAACCCCGAUUGCGAAGGCAGCUUGCUGCAGCGGAACUGACGCUGAUGCUCGAAAGCGCGGGUAUCGAACAGGAUUAGAUACCCGAGUAGUC